AUUAAUUUUUGGUUCAUAAGUGUGAUGAUGGGAUAUUCACACAUUAUGGGACAUGUCCCUCCCACAGACCUUGUUACAAUAUUAGCAAUUACAUAUGAGAAA
rfam:Mus musculus chromosome 5, GRC primary reference assembly.